AAGUCGUAACAAGGUUUCCGUAGGUGAACCUGCGGAAGGAUCAUUAAAAGAAUCUGCCUCACCCACAGAUAUCUUAUCACGUGUGAACUGUCUAGCUUGUCACCAGAGAUGGACACCUCAGAGAUCUCGGUCUUUGGGGGGUCUGUCUUGGGGGUCAGCUUAUGCUACUGAUUGUGCCCCGAGAAUCUUUAAAAGACUAUAAAACUUUUAGCAAUGGAUCUCUAGGCUCCU
rnacentral:misc_RNA from 1 species